AUUGAACGCUGGCGGCAGGCCUAACACAUGCAAGUCGAGCGAGCGGCGGACGGGUGAGUAAUGUCUGGGAAACUGCCUGAUGGAGGGGGAUAACUACUGGAAACGGUAGCUAAUACCGCAUACCAUCAGAUGUGCCCAGAUGGGAUUAGCUAGUAGGUGGGGUAAUGGCUCACCUAGGCGACGAUCCCUAGCUGGUCUGAGAGGAUGACCAGCGAAACGGGAACGAGGACCCGGUCCAGACUCCUGCGGGAGACAGCAGUGGGGAAGAUUGCACAAUGGGCGCAAGCCUGAUGCAGCCAGGCCGCGUGUGUGAAGAAGGCCUGCGGGUUGUAAAGCACUUUCAGCGAGGAGGCGUUACUCGCAGAAGAAGCACCGGCUAACUCCGUGCCAGCAGCCGCGGUAAUUC
rnacentral:rRNA from 1 species